GGCCUCAUACUUACCCAAUCAAGACCUUUCCUUUCUCAAUCUUGUAUUCAAUGUGCUGGGACAUCUGGGCACGGUCAGACCUGGCUUCUGGGUCUCUCCAUCCCGUAGCCACCCUGCACACCCCUUCUUCCAUACACCCUAGCACAGGGAGAGGGUGAUAUGACCUGGGAGGCCCUACACCUGCGGCUAGUCCUGCUGCUGCUGGCCUCAGGCUCCUGGGUGCAGAGCCAGAAGGAUGAGUUGGUGUGGGCCAUACAGGACCAGGUACUCUCUGUGAAAUGCCCAUCCGCCCCCCUGCUAGGUGAGCAUCAGAACAAAACCUGUCGAAACCCGGUUAUUGCUUGAAGUUAGUCACCAGCACCAGUCCCCAGGUAAUGGCCCAAAGCCCUCCACAUUUCAUCUGGGACAACUCUGCUGCUGGCUUCUUUCGUGUCAUCGUAACAGAGAUCACGAAGAAAAGUUCAGGAGCGUACUGGUGUGGAAUAGACAGAGGUCCUAUGAAAAGCAUCACUAUCCUCAAAAACAUCAGCCUGGUGGUGACUUCAAGUGAGCUUUUUGCAGAGAGGGGAGGGGCCUGCCUGGGGUGUCUGGUGGGGGAAAUGAAACCGCUCACCUCCUUCUCUCGCUUCCUUCCCCAGAUCCCACCAGCUCCCUGCUCCCUUCCAUACUGACUACGGGCAGUUAAGUCCCUAGUCCCCAUAUUCAGGCCAUUGCCUCCAUCCUUGGGUGUCCUGUCUCAGCAGGUAUAAGAUAAUUUGGGGCCCACUGGGCACAGAGCCCUUGUCCACACAAUGGCUCAGACCCAACCUCAGCCACCGACCCCCAGAACUGGCCACCCUGUAUAGGCACGGGGUGUCUGUGUGGGGUCCUGUGGCCUAGGUCUCUCCCAGGCCAGACACGCUGUUGCUCAGGACCUUGGUUCAGACCAGAAGUGUCUUGAGACUCUGAUGGUGAAAGGGCCAUGCCUUUGGGACAAGUGGCUUGUGCCUUUUCCACAGGAGGGCUCCUGACUCUCCCUGCUCUUGGGGAUUUGGGGACCCAGUAUUAGGCUUCUCUCUCAGCCCAGGCCUCCCCUAGCCCCUGCUUGUCUCUUUCUACUAGCUCUGGGAAGCUCCCUAGCUUGGACCCCAGUCAGCCCUGGCCUGAGGGACCCUGGGGGCUGGCUCUGGCCCCUCCCCCUCUUCCUCUCAGGCUUUGGGGGCUGACCCCUCUCCCUCUGGGGACUCUAGGCUGCCGCUGCCUUCUCUGUGGUCGUCAAUCACACUUACUUUUCUAGUGACAACCAUUUCAACCUUCAUCAAUGGCUCUGAGGACUGGUAGAUCUGGGGUCCCACCUGAAGGGAGGGGGCUGGGAAGCUGGUGACUCGUACGGGCUCUGAUUCAGGAGACCAGGGGGACCAAGACGUCUGAAAGGGGUCCCAAGGUCUCAGGUCUCACCCCAAGGAUGAAGGAAUGACUCUAAACUUCCCCCAUGAUGGAGCAGAAAUAGCUACAUAUCAGAAUGCAACAUCUUCCAUUAGUGCUGAUUCACAGGCAAGAAGAAUGAGGCCUGUCCAGAGUUACUCAGCUACUUCAGGCCCAAAGCAGAACUAAGAUCCAGGCCUUCUGUCUCCUGGUCCAGUGCUCCUUUGGGGCUUAGAGAUUCUCCAUGGGCACCUCUGGGUGCCGAUUAUAGUUGUGGCACUCUCUCCCUCUGCUUUUCCUUUGGGACCAAUGGCCUUCUCCCUGUUCAUUGGAGAUGUGGCAUGCCCUGAUAGCAUCACCCAGAGAAAUGAGAACUUUGAUCAUUGCUUAUUUCCUGGCUAACCUCUCCCUGUACCCAAGCUUCCUGCGUUCUCAGGAUUCUGUUCCAGGCAGUCCCUGUGGCUCACCCCAGUGAGCUGGGGGUGGGUCUGGCCCAUAAAUAGGCUCCAGCCCCAUGCUGAGUUCAGGGGCUGCUCUCCCCAGCCUGGAUCCUCCCCUCCUCCUUCUCCCUUCUCCCACAGCCUGCCUGACAGCACUUUCGUGGUGCUGUUGUGUGGACUCCUCGUGACCAAGAUCAUGGCUUUGACAGCCCUCCUCCUGUUUCUGACCUACAGAGCCCAGGUCUCCGCCGGCAUUGUGGGAGUAGCAGAAGUGGCUGCCCCUGGCCCCACCAAGACCCCAGGGCCCUUGAGCACUCCUCACUGAGCCUACAGUCCCCCCACCUCCUCCUGAUCCUCCAUGACCACUGAGACCUGGGGCCUCCAAGAAAAGGCCAUUACUGUGUUUCCGGAAGACACCUCCCAGCACCUGAAUCUACCAUUGUGGCGGCACCUCUCACCCCAGAGCUGAGGACCCCCCCAUUGCCUUCUCCAACGCCAUGUCCACAAAGCAAGAACCCACCACCUGUGAGACUCUUCCUGGGCAUCCAGGCUGCCCCUCUCCCACCCAGUGGACCAAACCCAACUGGUAGGCACCCUCCCCCUAACCUGUGCCUCUCCCUCCUCUCCUGGGUUACCUGUUUCUCUGCCAGCUCAUGGUUCAGCUGGUCUCCCGGCCACCAAUGCCCACUGCAGUCAGCUUCAGUUCCUGUUCUUCCCGAUAUGGGAAAUAUCCUUCGUUCAUACCACAUACAAAUGUAAUAUUUGCUACUUCCAAAAAUGACGCAAAUUUUAAAAGUAUACAACCAUGAAUGAAAAGUGUUUCCAUCCUAUAUGUCAGAUGAAAGGGUCAAUAGCUUUAGUGCCCGAACAUCUUCUUUCUCUUAAAUAAGUAAGAAUCAGGCAAAUGUUUCCAUUUUAAAAGGGCUAAGGCUACGAACACAUCAUUCAGUACAGAAUAAGGAACGAAUGAAUGAUAUAUAUGUAUGAACAUGUGUCCAAAAUGGCUGAUAAUCAAAGAAAUGAGAAAUGAAGCAAGACCCCAUGCUUUGCCUGUUAGUUCAAAGAAGAUUAAAAUAAAUAUGAUCAUAUUCCAAGCUGGAGAUGUGUAGGGAAAAGGGAAGGACAUAACUGAUAGCGUCUUCCUGGAGGGGAAGUAUGGCAAUGAAUUAAAAGGCAGAACGAGUAAUUUAUUCAUCCAUUCCACUGUUCAUGGACAUUUGGGUUCUUUCGCAUUUGGGGCUGUUGUGAAUAAAGCUGCUAUGAACAAUAAAAAAAAAAAGAGGCACCUGGUUGUGAAGAAACAGUUUUAAACACUUUUCUAAGUAAUUUGACAUGUGUCAUGAUUGCUGUUGUUUAAAAAGGAAAAUAAUGGUAUGUCCCCUAGAUGUCGGUUUUAAAAAGUAUGCCAACUAUACUUGAGUAAAAAAAGUAAAUAAAAAAAUGAAAAGGCAAAUAAUUGUACAAGACUUGAAAAUCCAAAGCAGUCUCACACUGUACCCCUGUGCGCCCAGGUCCCAUUCCUCUGAAGGAAGAUCUCUUAUCUGUUUAUUCUGAUAUUUAUGUCUCUACUUGUGGAA